rnacentral:rRNA from 1 species
GAUGAACGCUGGCGGCGUGCCUAACACAUGCAAGUCGAGCGAUUCUCUUCGGAGAAGAGCGGUGGACGGGUGAGUAACGCGUGGGUAACCUGCCCUGUACACACGGAUAACAUACCGAAAGGUAUGCUAAUACGGGAUAAUAUAAGAAAUUCGCAUGUUUUUCUUAUCAAAGCUCCGGCGGUACAGGAUGGACCCGCGUCUGAUUAGCUAGUUGGUGAGGUGAUGGCUCACCAAGGCGACGAUCAGUAGCCGACCUGAGAGGGUGAUCGGCCACAUUGGAACUGAGACACGGUCCAAACUCCUACGGGAGGCAGCAGUGGGGAAUAUUGCACAAUGGGCGAAAGCCUGAUGCAGCAACGCCGCGUGAGCGAUGAAGGCCUUCGGGUCGUAAAGCUCUGUCCUCAAGGAAGAUAAUGACGGUACUUGAGGAGGAAGCCCCGGCUAACUACGUGCCAGCCGCCGCGGUAA